rfam:Gossypium hirsutum cultivar TM-1 chromosome 8, whole genome shotgun sequence
AUUCCGUGAUGAGGGCACUUUCGUAAUAACUGUUUAUAUCUUUCCCAUGCCUGAUUCAAGGACUCAUCAUCCAUUUGUUGGAAUGCAGUGAUCUCAUUCCUCAACUU